GCCUUCGUGGUGUAAUGAUCAGCACACUCGGCGCGUAUUCGAGAGGUCCGAGGUUCGACUCCCGGCAAGGACA
rfam:Stegodyphus mimosarum contig8464, whole genome shotgun sequence.